GAACCAGUCUAUAUUUAUUAUACCACUUCAUCAAUAAGGAUCUUACAACAGUAAAAUUUCAUUUACCGCCCCCCUUCCAAUCUUUUGCAUUAUUGUCAUGUGUUUCACUUUUACAGCUUAUAAACCAACCAAACACUUUUUUGCGGGGAGAGGAUUCCAAGGCAUGUGGAAGUUCCUGGAGUAGGGAUCAAAUGUGCACCAAAGCAGUGACCCAAGCUACAGCAGUGAUAAUGCUGGGUAUUUAACUGCAAGGACACCAGGGAACUCCUAAAUACUUUUUGCUUUAAACAAAUUAAAGAAAUUAAAACUUUCAAAACUAUUUUAUAUUUAUCUAAUGUUACCAUUUCCAACAUGCUUCAGUCUUUCCAUACUUUUACUUUCUCAAAGACCAACAAAUGUAAGUAAAUUGUGAUUUUUAUAAUUAAAACAAAAUUUUUAGGGCCACACCUGUGGCAUGUGGAAGUUCCCAGGCUAGGAGCUGAAUUGGAGCCACAGCUGCCAGCCACAGCCACAGCAAUGGGGGAUCCAAGCUGUGUCCAAGACCUACACCAAAGUUCACAGCAACGGCGGAUCCUUAACCCACUGACUGAGGCCAGGGAUCGAAACUGCAUCCUCAUGGAUGCAAGUCAGGUUUGUCACCACUGAGCCAUGACUGGAACUCCUUUAUAAUAUUUUAAUAUUUCUAAUAUUUUUAGUUUCUUGGUAGUAAAAAUGGACAAUUGUGGACUCACAAUGCUGGCAUAAGAGAGAGUGAGAAUAGUUCUUUUGUGACAUCACAAGUUAGGGAUCUGGCAUUAUCACUGCAGAGGCAGAGGUUGUUCCUGUGGCACAAGCUCAAUCCCUGGCCCCAGAACUUCCACAUACCCCAGGUGUGGCCAAAAAAAAAAAGAAUAAUGGAAUGAAUUGGCCUCGACAAAGUGCCAACGCAAAGUGCAUAAUGCAAAAUCUUUUAUAACAACUUUAAUAUAAAAAUAUUUACAGAAAUUAUGGCAUGUACUUUUUAGUGUCUAAUGCCUGAGAAUACACACAAUUAAAUUGAAUUUAAAGACCCCUUGGACUAGACAAAGUACACCAGAGGUACAACUUGAGGUAGUACUACCCUGCAAGGGCAUUUUAAAAUAUGUCUGCAAUUUAGAUUGUCACACUGGGUAGGCAGUAUUUCAUUUCCUGGGGUAAAAUACACAGAACUGAGAUCCAAUGCAGGAUUGUCUUACCUCAAAAUGCUCAUAGCACCCAGAUGAGAGACAGUAAAAAUAUCUGGCUCUACUUUGGGGCAUUAUUUAUUUUGACUUUUUUGAGAGAAUAUGAAACAUUCCAUUCAUAUCUAACUUUAACAGAAUACCUGAUUUUUCACCUCAUUUCUAAUCCAACUGUCUCCCACUAUGAUAAAUUACACCAUCAUCCAAUGAGACAUUUUUCUUCCCCUCCCCAUCAACAUGCAAUUCAUCAUUACAUGAGUUGACCCCACCUUUAAAAUAUCUCUCUUUAAUCAGUGUCACACUAGUUCAAACCAACAUUACCUCAGUCUAGACAGCAACCUACUAACUCCCUGGGAACCAUUCUGCACACAGCAGUCAGAGUCAUUGCUUAAAAGCAAAACUCAAAAAAUUUUACUUCUGUUUUUAAAAUCUUCAAAGUUAUCUAGUUACACUUAGAAAUUCAGAUUCUUUUGCUACCUCACAAAAUCAUAUGUGAUGUGUCUCCUGCCUGCCUCUCACCUCAUGGUUCUCUGCUCCUCACCCACUGUGCUGCCACCUCUCUGCCUUCCCUUUUCUCAAACUUGCUUCAGGGACUUUAAACUAAUGUUUCCUCUGCAUAGAAGAUCCUUUUCUGCUAGAUUUUCAUGUAGCUGGCUCGUUUUCUUUAGGACCUCUCACCCUGCUGAGCCAAUUCAGCAUCUUCAGAAGUAGAAGUAGUUACAUUAAAAAUGAGUAAACUGGGAGUUCUUGUUGUGGCUCAACAUGUUAAGAACCUGCCAUAGUGUCCCUUAGAAUGUGGGGUCAAUCCCUGGCCUCACUCAGUGGGUUAAAGAUCUGGCAUUGCUGCAAGCUGUGGUGUAGGUCGCAGAUGUGGCUUGGAGCUGGUGUUGCCUUGGCUGUGGUGCAGACUGAAGCUGCAGCUCCAGUUUGACCUCUAGCCCAGGAACUUCCAUAUGCUGCAGGUGAGGCCUUAAAAAAUAAAAAAAAAUAUAAAUUUUUAAAAAAUGUAAACUGGAGUUCCCUGGUGGCUCAGAGCAAGGCCAGGGAUUGAACCCGAAACCUCAUGGUUCCCAGUCGGAUUCAUUAACCACUGCGCUACCACAGGAACUCGUUUUUUCACUUCUUUAAUUAAAAAAUUUUUAAAAUAAGUAAACUAAAAAUCUUACAUAUGCUAAAGUUGGUGAACCAGUGAGCUAAACUUUUCUCUGUGUCUGUUACUGAUUUGUUAAUGAAUGUGGAAACAAAAAGCAUUUGAGUAUCCAAUCCAAUAACUUUUUUUCUUUUUUUUGCUUUUUAGCGCAGCACUUGCAGCAUAUGGAAGUUCCCAGGCUAGGGGCAGAAUUGGAGCUGCAGGUGCCAGCCUAUACCACAGCCACAGCAAUGCAGGAUCCAAGCCAUGUCUGCAAUCUACACCAUAGCUCACAGACACGCUGGAUCCUUAACCUACUGAGCAAGACCAGGGAUCGUACCGCAUCCUCAUGGAUACUAGUCUGGAUUCGUUUCCAUUGCACCACAAGGGGAACUCCAAAUCCAAUAAUUGUUGUUUCCCUUAGAAAAUUUUAACAUUCAGUGCAUGUUGUAGUUAGAAAAUGCCAUACUACUGCAACAAACACCCAACAACAAUAAAGAGGCUUAAGGAGAAGAGGUGUAACAUUCUAUGACUACAUUCUGUGGAGAGUUCCAGUAGGAAUUAUAUAACAUGACAAAGUGGGAGUUGUUUCUGGAAGAAUGGUUCAACAUACAAAAAUCACUCUAAUAUACCACAUUAACAGAAUGAAGGACAAAAA
rnacentral:lncRNA from 1 species